CCUACGGGGGGCAGCAGUGGGGAAUAUUGGACAAUGGGCGCAAGCCUGAUCCAGCGACGCCGCGUGAGUGAUGAAGGCCUUCGGGUUGUAAAGCUCUGUGGGGAGGGACGAAAACAGUCAGGAAUAAUACCCUGGCUCUUGACGGUACCUCCUUAGCAAGCACCGGCUAACUCUGUGCCAGCAGCCGCGGUAAGACAGAGGGUGCAAACGUUGCUCGGAAUUACUGGGCGUAAAGCGCGUGUAGGCGGACGCGGAAGUCGGGUGUGAAAUCCCUGGGCUCAACCCAGGAACUGCAUCCGAAACUCCGUGUCUAGAGUGUCGGAGAGGGACGUGGAAUUCCUGGUGUAGAGGUGAAAUUCGUAGAUAUCAGGAGGAACACCGGUGGCGAAGGCGACGUCCUGGACGACGACUGACGCUGAGACGCGAAAGCGUGGGGAGCA
rnacentral:rRNA from 1 species